rnacentral:rRNA from 1 species
GAUGAACGCUGGCGGCGUGCCUGAUACAUGCAAGUCGAGCGAACAGACGAGGAGCUUGCUCCUCUGACGUUAGCGGCGGACGGGUGAGUAACACGUGGAUAACCUACCUAUAAGACUGGGAUAACUUCGGGAAACCGGAGCUAAUACCGGAUAAUAUAUUGAACCGCAUGGUUCAAUAGUGAAAGACGGUUUUGCUGUCACUUAUAGAUGGAUCCGCGCCGCAUUAGCUAGUUGGUAAGGUAACGGCUUACCAAGGCGACGAUGCGUAGCCGACCUGAGAGGGUGAUCGGCCACACUGGAACUGAGACACGGUCCAGACUCCUACGGGAGGCAGCAGUAGGGAAUCUUCCGCAAUGGGCGAAAGCCUGACGGAGCAACGCCGCGUGAGUGAUGAAGGUCUUCGGAUCGUAAAACUCUGUUAUUAGGGAAGAACAAAUGUGUAAGUAACUAUGCACGUCUUGACGGUACCUAAUCAGAAAGCCACGGCUAACUACGU